AAAAGUAACUUUCGUAAUCGAAAAAGUUUCGCUUUUUUUUCUGCUUCUGCCGCUGAGCAAGUUUUAAAUAUUACCGCUUAGUUACAGCUGCAGGAAGAAAAGUUAUAAUUAUGGACUACGUACAUAAAU
ensembl:ncRNA mir-4944 mir-4944 stem loop